UACGUAGGGGGCUAGCGUUGCUCGGAAUCACUGGGCGUAAAGGGUGCGUAGGCGGGUCUUUAAGUCAGGGGUGAAAUCCUGGAGCUCAACUCCAGAACUGCCUUUGAUACUGAGGAUCUUGAGUACGGGAGAGGUGAGUGGAACUGCGAGUGUAGAAGUGAAAUUCGUAGAUAUUCGCAAGAACACCAGUGGCGAAGGCGGCUCACUGGCCCGUAACUGACGCUGAGGCACGAAAGCGUGGGGAGCAAACAGG
rnacentral:rRNA from 1 species